GGGAAGGUGGCUCAGUGGAAGAGCGCUUGCCUUACAUGCAUGAGGCCCUGGGUUCGAUUCCUCACCACCACA
rnacentral:tRNA from 1 species